AGCUUGAAAUAUUAGAAGUGGCUUAUUUUUUUAAAUUCAGAGAUGUACCCCAGAAGAGGACAUGGACCUCAGUUUCCUCAGGAUUACAUGCCAAACAGAAAUUUCCAGGAAGGCGGUUGGGAUAGGCCACAGCAGAAAUGGUACCCAGAUGGUCCGAGGAGGGACCAGUUUUAUAACAGAGCACAUGGUGACAACUUUGGCCAAUACAGAAGUUCCUACCAAGGCCGUGGUUGGAGACGUCCCCGAGGUGAUUUUCCUGAAAAACACCACUAUCAUGGCCAUUCUUACAGAGGAGCGAAAACCAGCUUCACAAAAGGUAGAUACCAGCAUACUUCACGUUCCCCCUACGUAAAGACGGUCCCUUUAAAAAACAAACAGGCAGCUGAAGUGUCUUCCAGCCAGGCUUCCCCUCUGCCAUCAGCCAAAACACCUACAGAAAAACAAACGUCAUCUACUCAAAAAAAUCCUCAUAAGAUGAGAAAAGAACCUAUAUUGAAGCAGCAUACUGUUCAGAGAGAAGAGACAUGUACUCAGCAUGCUGUCUCUAAGGAAGGUGCCAAGAGCCAGGUUCCAGAUGACCCUCCAGUGGAGCCUCCACAAUCGCUACAGAUGAAAGAGAAAAACAGUGAGGCUGCCAACCAGACCCAGUCUACUCCAUCUCCUGAAGUACCUGUAGAAGAGCAAGCAACACCUGAGGCAACAGAACGUCAACCUACAGCAAAACAAAAUUCUGUUUUGAAACAGCUUACUGUUCAGACAAAUGAGAUAUAUAUUCAGCAUGUCAAUCCUAAGGAAGGUGCCAAAAGCCAGGUCCUCGAUGGUCACCCAGUGGAGCCUCCAGAAUCUCUACAGAUGAAAGAGAGAGACAGUGAGGCUGCAGAAUCUUCUGCCAACCAGACCCAGUCUAUUAUAUCUUCUGAAGCAUCUGUAGAAGAGCAAACAACUCCCGAGACUACAGAAUGGCAACCUAUAGUAAAAGAAAAUUCUAUAUUGAAGCAGCCUACUGUUCAGAGGGAUGAGACUUGUAUUCAGCAUACUGCUCCUAAGGAAGGUGGCAAGAACCAGGUCCCAGAUGACUACCCAGUGAAGACUCCAAGCACAGGUAGCCACGACGAAGCAAGUCCUGGACAAAAGGAUGUUGGCCUUACUGCUGGUGUCUGUGGCUUCCCACUGACCCUCGGUAGUAUUCAUUAUGUGCCUGUCCUGGUACAAAAAGCAGAAAUGAAACUGUUGUCUUCACACUCCCUGCCUCAGACACAUGUCAUUUGUGACAAAAAAUGUGAUAUUGAAAGACUACUAGUCUGUCAUUCAUGUUCAUCAAAAAGUCACCACUGUAGUGCGUCAGAGUAUUCUAGCCAAAACUGUGUGCCAAGGGAGUUGUGCAUUUUGAGUUCAAGAUCUUCUCACAGGCAAGAACAAGAAUUGAGAUCUCACAAACAAGAACAGAAAUUGAGAUCCUCUCACAAGAAAAAACAGAAGUUGAGAUCAUUUCUCAGGCAAGAACAGAGUUUGAGAUCUUCUCCUAAGUGCAAACCCUCUCUCCACAGACAAGAGCAACAUUCAGGGUCCCGUCAGAGGAGAAAUGAUUUCGUUGGAAGCUGUUGCCAUUGUUACUGUGAUCAUAAAUAUGACUGCAGUCUAUCCCAAGAGAAUUCCAAGGAAAGUGAUUUGUCUCCUCGUUACUUGCUCCAUAAAAUAAAUGACUACCAUUCCCUCGAAGAAAGAAGUGAAACCGUUAAAGUGCCACAUCUCAACUCUCCAGCAAGUUGCACUGUGAAGACAAAGAAAAAAAAAGUGAGGCAGCCUGUGGAAAUGGCAAAGAAAAAGAGAACAUCUUCAGAGAAAGGAACAAAGUUUAUCAAGGUCCAGACAGCAGCCAGAAAUUAUGAGGAAAUGGGUUCUCUUCAACAUCCCAACACUGAAGAAAAAGCCAGUUCUUCAGCCAUAUCAUGGACACUGGAGGACCGUUCUGCAGCUGUGCUGGCAAAAAAGGAAGAGAUUGAGGAGGCUUAUCUGCGGGUGCUUCUCAACUUCGCAGUGGUGGCCAUCAUGUUGGUGGAAAAAGAACCCAGUAUGCAGACAACUAUCGAAUCGGCACUGAGGGCCAACCUGAGAAGGACUGGGGACUACUAUGAACACAUGCUGAGGAACUACAUUGACAGCUUAGCUGAAGCUAGCUUAGAGGAGACUCAAUAGAAAAAUCUACCCAGUGUAACGAAAGCCCAUUCCAAGACAGAAAUCCUGAGGAAUUGAAAGCUGUAUGUUUUUUUGGAUUUAGGCGUGGCUGGAAGAAGCCUCCCAUUGGCAGUAGAUAUAAUAAAUCCCCAAGGGAUACGAGUUUACACUGUAACUGCUAUUGGAAAUGGAGGUAGUAGCUGAAAGACUUGUUGAUGCCUUUACCUUAGGACAAAGGGGUAGAGAAAGGGAUUGGUAUGGGAAAGAGAAAAGACCUUCUGGUAACAACAGUAUUGGGAGCAAUUGUAAAAGCCAGGAACUCAAUUUGGUGAUUAACAAAUAUGGCAGAAAACCAGUUUUGUCAUGUUAUCCUGUCAGGGUCAGGUGUUGAACAGCUUUCUCCUCUUGAUAUGUUGAUAUGUCUUAAAUUCACUUAAAUUCUUACUGUGCUACUAUAGGCGUGGACAAAAUGGAGGGCUCCUGUGCUGUACAACAUUUCUUUUUUUUUUUUUUGAAAUAAUCUUUAUUAUAGAAUUUCCAAAUAACACAUGUCAUCUAAGGGGAAAGGGUGGGA
rnacentral:lncRNA from 11 species